rnacentral:rRNA from 1 species
GAGUAGGGCGGGACACGUGUUAUCCUGUCUGAAUAUGGGGGGACCAUCCUCCAAGGCUAAAUACUCCUGACUGACCGAUAGUGAACCAGUACCGUGAGGGAAAGGCGAAAAGAACCCCUGUGAGGGGAGGGAAAUAGAACCUGAAACCGUGUACGUACAAGCAGUAGGAGCACCUUCGUGGUGUGACUGCGUACCUUUUGUAUAAUGGGUCAGCGACUUAUAUUCAGUGGCAAGGUUAACCAUCUAGGGGAGCCGUAGGGAAACCGAGUCUUAACUGGGCGUCAUAGUCUCUGGAUAUAGCCCCGAAACCGAGUGAUCUAGCCAUGGGCAGGUUGAAGGUUGAGUAACAUCAACUGGAGGACCGAACCGACUAAUGUUGAAAAAUUAGCGGAUGACUUGUGGCUAGGGGUGAAAGGCCAAUCAAACUCGGAGAUAGCUGGUUCUCCCCGAAAGCUAUUUAGGUAGCGCCUCGGACGAAUACUACUGGGGGUAGAGCACUGUUAAGGCUAGGGGGUCAUCCCGACUUACCAACCCUUUGCAAACUCCGAAUACCAGUAAGUACUAUCCGGGAGACACACGGCGGGNCACUGUUAAGGCUAGGGGGUCAUCCCGACUUACCAACCCUUUGCAAACUCCGAAUACCAGUAAGUACUAUCCGGGAGACACACGGCGGGUGCUAACGUCCGUCGUGGGGAGGGAAACAACCCAGACCGCCAGCUAAGGUCCCAAAUUACAGCUAAGUGGGAAACGAUGUGGGAAGGCUUAGACAGCUAGGAUGUUGGCUUAGAAGCAGCCAUCAUUUAAAGAAAGCGUAAUAGCUCACUAGUCGAGUCGGCCUGCGCGGAAGAUGUAACGGGGCUAAGUUGUAAACCGAAGCUGCGGCAAUAUCUUUUAGAUAUUGGGUAGGGGAGCGUUCUGUAAGCCGUUGAAGGUGUGUUGUAAAGCAUGCUGGAGGNNNNNNNNNNNNNNNNNNNNNNNNNNNCCUGGCGACGGUUGUCCAGGUUCAAGUGCGUAGGCUGAGUGUUUAGGUAAAUCCGGACACUCUUAAGGCUGAGACACGACGUCGAGCUACUACGGUAGUGAAGUCAUUGAUGCCAUGCUUCCAGGAAAAGCCUCUAAGCUUCAGAUUGUAAGGAAUCGUACCCCAAACCGACACAGGUGGUCGGGUAGAGAAUACCAAGGCGCUUGAGAGAACUCGGGUGAAGGAACUAGGCAAAAUGGUACCGUAACUUCGGGAGAAGGUACGCUCUUGAUGGUGAAGUCCCUUGCGGAUGGAGCUGACGAGAGUCGCAGAUACCAGGUGGCUGCAACUGUUUAUUAAAAACACAGCACUGUGCAAAAUCGUAAGAUGACGUAUACGGUGUGACGCCUGCCCGGUGCCGGAAGGUUAAUUGAUGGGGUUAGCGUAAGCGAAGCUCUUGAUCGAAGCCCCGGUAAACGGCGGCCGUAACUAUAACGGUCCUAAGGUAGCGAAAUUCCUUGUCGGGUAAGUUCCGACCUGCACGAAUGGCGUAAUGAUGGCCACGCUGUCUCCACCCGAGACUCAGUGAAAUUGAAAUCGCUGUGAAGAUGCAGUGUACCCGCGGCUAGACGGAAAGACCCCGUGAACCUUUACUACAGCUUGGNCCCUUGUAUGUUUGAUGUUCUAACGUUGGCCCCUAAUCGGGGUUGCGGACAGUGCCUGGUGGGUAGUUUGACUGGGGCGGUCUCCUCCCAAAGAGUAACGGAGGAGCACGAAGGUGGGCUAAUCACGGUUGGACAUCGUGAGGUUAGUGCAAUGGCAUAAGCCCGCUUAACUGCGAGAAUGACGGUUCGAGCAGGUGCGAAAGCAGGUCAUAGUGAUCCGGUGGUUCUGAAUGGAAGGGCCAUCGCUCAACGGAUAAAAGGUACUCCGGGGAUAACAGGCUGAUACCGCCCAAGAGUUCAUAUCGACGGCGGUGUUUGGCACCUCGAUGUCGGCUCAUCACAUCCUGGGGCUGAAGUCGGUCCCAAGGGUAUGGCUGUUCGCCAUUUAAAGUGGUACGCGAGCUGGGUUUAGAACGUCGUGAGACAGUUCGGUCCCUAUCUGCCGUGGGCGUUGGAAGAUUGAAGGGGGCUGCUCCUAGUACGAGAGGACCGGAGUGGACGAACCUCUGGUGUUCGGGUUGUGUCGCCAGACGCAUUGCCCGGUAGCUAAGUUCGGAAUCGAUAACCGCUGAAAGCAUCUAAGCGGGAAGCGAGCCCUGAGAUGAGUCUUCCCUGAUACUUUAAGUAUCCUNUUAACCAUACAACACCCAAAGGGUUUUGAUGGACUCGAUGUAAGAACAUUGAAUGUGUAGAGAACAUAAACAGCUUUCCAGAUUUUUUGCCUUC